rnacentral:rRNA from 1 species
GCAUAAAGGAUUGGAAAAUAAUGAUAGUACUUUCCUAUUAGUGUUGUCAAAAUACUGGUGCCAGAAGACUCGGUAAGGCCAGAAACGCGAACGUUAGUAGUCUUAAUCAGGCGUAAAGGGUUCGUAGACUUCUUCGGGUUAUUUAUUUGCACCUUAAUUUUCAAUUGUCUUUAAAAUUUAAUGUAUAUAUUAUCUGCGUCUCUUAUUUAUAUUUAUAAAUAAAAAAUACAUUAUAGUCACUUGCUCUCGUUUUGCGCUAACUUAUUUAUAUUAAACUCUCUAUUUUUAUAUUUUGCCUAAUAAAAGAUAAGAGCAAAACAAAAUUUUAAAGAAAAAAUUAAGAAAAGUAAAAAUAUAAUGUGUUAUUCUAAGCAGCUGUAUUCUGUGAAGAACUAAUACAUUAUAUUUUACUUUUAAAAAUUCGGCAUAAUAGCAAAAGCGAAGAUAGAAUCUUAUGCGAGGUGCUUCGACAAAUGCUCUAAGGAAGGAUGAAAUCUAUAAAUAUAGAGUGGAAGACUAAGGGCGAAAGCUAUUCACCUAGUAAAGAUUGACGUUGAGGAACGUAGGUUAGGAUCGAAAAAAGGAUUAGAUACCCAAGUAUUCCUAUCUGUUAACGAUGAAUGGUUAGUUAUUCAGUUAAAUAUAUUUUAAUUUCGUAAAUUAUUAAUAAUAUAACUAAAAUAAAACUGGGAAGCGUAGCUAACGCGAUUACCAUUCCGCCUUGUGAGUACGACUGCAAAGUUGAAAACAAAAAAUUAGUCGGUUUCGGAGCAAACGAAGUGAGGCA